rnacentral:rRNA from 1 species
AACGAACGCUGGUGGCGUGCUUAACACAUGCAAGUCGAACGAGAAAACUUCUUUCGGGAAGUUAGUAAAGUGGCGCACGGGUGAGUAACACGUGAAUAAUCUGCCCUUGAGAUCGGGAUAACAUGGUGAAAACUAUGAUAAUACCGGAUAAGACCACAUUUCAAAAGAAAUGCGGGAAAAGGAGUCUCAAUCUUCGCUUAGGGAUGAGUUCGCGGAACAUUAGCUUGUUGGUGAGAUAAAAGCUCACCAAGG